CAAGAUAUUUCCAGGAAGGCUUUAUUUCCUGUUGUUCUAGAGAUUGAUUAACUACUAUCUGGGGUCAGAAGGUUGUGAUAGAUACCUUGUUAAAUGGCGUAAUAUAAAUUAUGGCAUUUAAGAAAGACCUGGUGAUCUAAAAGAGAAGGUGUUGGUUUUCUUGGGUAUAAAAGAAGCAAUCCAAAGCUGGUGAUUUGGUUGUCAGAAGGAAUAUUAAAGCUCUCUCCUUUAAUGCACUUUGGCCAGUUGGCACUUGAGCUAGGUUGAGCCUGAGUUGGAUUUUUAUUUAGGUUUAAAUAGUCUCAUAUUUAA
rnacentral:lncRNA from 1 species